GUUGGAUAAUACAAUAGUCCAUAAGCUUUAUUUUACAUGUAAUAACAUGUAAAGAAGCUUUAAAGGACAAAUUUACUUUUGAUAUAAUUGAUAAAUAAUGAUAUACUCUUGUUUAAGUACUUUUACAAAGUACUCUCACAAAAAAAUAGAAACUACAAAAGUACAUAAUAAUAUUUAACAUUUUGAUCACAUUCUUAUAUAGUUCAUGCAAGACAUAAUAGCAAGAACUAUAUAUAUUGAUCAAUAAUUAAUGACCACCACCAAUGCCUCCACCACCACCAAAUCCACCACCACCUCCUAUACCUCCGCCAACGCCUCCACCUGCACCACCACCAAAGCCACCUCCGGCACCUCCACCACCACCAAUGCCACCACCUCCA
rnacentral:misc_RNA from 1 species